GGGCAUAGUAGUUAAAGCAUCCGCCUCAAAUGCGUGAGGUCGUGGGUUCGAUCCCCGGCCGAGUCA